UAACAAGGAUUCCCCUAGUAACUGCGAGUGAAGCGGGAAAAGCUCAAAUUUAAAAUCUGGCGUCCUUUGGGCGUCCGAGUUGUAAUCUGGAGAAGCGUUUUCCGCGUUGGACCGUGUACAAGUCUCCUGGAACGGAGCGUCAUAGAGGGUGAGAAUCCCGUCCAUGACACGGACUACCAAUGCUUUGUGAUACGCUCUCGAAGAGUCGAGUUGUUUGGGAAUGCAGCUCAAAAUGGGUGGUAAAUUCCAUCUAAAGCUAAAUAUUGGCGAGAGACCGAUAGCGAACAAGUACCGUGAGGGAAAGAUGAAAAGCACUUUGGAAAGAGAGUUAAACAGUACGUGAAAUUGUUGAAAGGGAAACGCUUGAAGUCAGUCGCGUCUUGCGGAACUCAGCCUUACUUCGGUUUGGUGUACUUUCUGUUUGACGGGUCAACAUCAAUUUUGAUCGGUAGAAAAAGCUUGAGGAAAUGUGGCGUUGUUUCGGCGACGUGUUAUAGUCUUCUUGCGUAUAUAUCGGUUGGGAUUGAGGACCGCAGCACGCCUUUAAUGGCCGGGGGUUCGCCCUACGAAUCGUGCUUAAGGAUGUUGGCAUAAUGGCUUUAAACGAC
rnacentral:rRNA from 1 species